AAUGGGAUAACUGGGUCAAAUUAUGGUUCCAUUCCAAGUUUUCUAAGGAAUAAUCAUACUGCUUUCCAGAGUGUUUGCACCAAUUUGUAGUCCCAACAGCAAU
rnacentral:pre_miRNA from 1 species